UAGGGAAUCUUCCACAAUGGACGCAAGUCUGAUGGAGCAACGCCGCGUGAGUGAAGAAGGUUUUCGGAUCGUAAAGCUCUGUUGUUGGUGAAGAAGGAUAGAGGCAGUAACUGGUCUUUAUUUGACGGCAAUCAACCAGAAAGUCACGGCUAACUACGUGCCAGCAGCCGCGGUAAUACGUAGGUGGCAAGCGUUGUCCGGAUUUAUUGGGCGUAAAGCGAGCGCAGGCGGAAUGAUAAGUCUGAUGUGAAAGCCCACGGCUCAACCGUGGAACUGCAUCGGAAACUGUCAUUCUUGAGUGCAGAAGAGGAGAGUGGAAUUCCAUGUGUAGCGGUGGAAUGCGUAGAUAUAUGGAAGAACACCAGUGGCGAAGGCGGCUCUCUGGUCUGCAACUGACGCUGAGGCUCGAAAGCAUGGGUAGCGAACAGG
rnacentral:rRNA from 1 species